GUCGCGCUCAUAUAUAGCCAUUUGUCGAUACAAGGACAGUGAAAAAGGUGACCACAGGGAAGUUCUCGGAGUUCAUCUCCAUCAUCAUAAGUAGACAGACAUAUGGAACAUUCAGAAUCAUCUAUGGAAACUGCGUGUUCAUCUGUUGGUGUAUUCCCCCCACACAGGGUCAUGAAUCCAGCAAUUCCUUGGUUCUCACUAGUACAUUUCUUCUCAGUAAAAUCAUUGCGUUGGAAUAUGUACUUUGACA
rnacentral:misc_RNA from 1 species